rnacentral:tRNA from 3 species
GCCGGAGUGGUGGAAUUGGUAGACGCGCUGCGUUCAGGGCGCAGUGUCCGCAAGGACGUGCCGGUUCGAGUCCGGCCUUCGGCACCU